UACGAAGGGGGCUAGCGUUGCUCGGAAUCACUGGGCGUAAAGGGUGCGUAGGCGGGUUUUUAAGUCAGGGGUGAAAUCCUGGAGCUCAACUCCAGAACUGCCUUUGAUACUGAAGAUCUUGAGUCCGGGAGAGGUGAGUGGAACUGCGAGUGUAGAGGUGAAAUUCGUAGAUAUUCGCAAGAACACCAGUGGCGAAGGCGGCUCACUGGCCCGGUUCUGACGCUGAGGCGCGAAAGCGUGGGGAGCAAACAGG
rnacentral:rRNA from 1 species